rnacentral:misc_RNA from 1 species
AACGCACAUUGCGCCCGCCAGUAUUCUGGCGGGCAUGCCUGUUCGAGCGUCAUUUCAACCCUCAAGCUCUGCUUGGCGUUGGGGAUCGGCAGCCCGGCUUCGCGCCGCGCCGUCCCCCAAAUACAGUGGCGGUCUCGCUGCAGCUUCCUUUGCGUAGUAGCACACCUCGCACCGGAGAGCAGCGCGGCCACGCCGUAAAACCCCCGACUUCUUGUUUUUGACCUCGAAUCAGGUAGGACUACCCGCUGAACUUAA